AUGGCAGAGGCUCAUUAAGCUGUUGUCAGGACUAUUAAUGACAUUGUGAACACUUUCCGAGCUCUGUAUGCCUUGGGGCGUAUGAUUGCCAAAGCUGAGCCAUUAAAGAAGGUGUGAGAGUAACACAAUGCUGCUGUGUGCUUCAAGCUCUACAGAUGAACCCUGCUGGACCCACAGCUAAGUGUUGGCCACCUCUAACAACAGUCGGAGACAACUUUAGGUGGACUUAUGAACUGUGAGGUGUGAGGUAGUGGUUUCGCCUGCUUGGAAUGGAAAAACUGAAAAGCACAAAUGGAGUUCUGUCAUCAGUCCUGUUGUGUAUGCUCAUGAUUACGAUACUGAGUUAUGAGGCAAACAAUGCAAAAAAACAGAAUGGACAGAAAGAACAGAGUAAACUUUCAACAUCUCCUCAGUCUGGGAAACAGCGGAGGCGGCAAUGAGAGCUCGCAGAGCUCCAGACUCAUGUUGUUGAUCCUUAUGUGGUCACACGCAAACCUAACCAUCAUCCUCUGGGAUAUCCUCUCAGAGGGUCAGACGCAGAGUGCAUGAGAAUUUCCCCACUGACCCUGCAGAAAUAAAAGGGCAAAGCAGGUGAUAUCUAUGCAGGGAAUUAUUAUGCCUGUUAUUACGUCUUAAUAUUUCAUUUAUAUCAGCAUUAGUUGCAAGCAGGAUCCUUACAAGCCAAAUUAAAGGAAAGGAAGCUUCAGCAUUCACUUCUACACAUAAAAUAUAAUUCAGUAAUAGUAAUAAAACUAUGAAAUCAA